UUCGUCGGGGCUGGGUUUGUGCCCGCGGCUUGCAAUGGAGGUGCUUGGGUCUAAAAAAAGGCCAGGUUUUCCCCAUUUAUUAUUAUAUUUUUUUUAAUCUCAGCCUCCCGAGAAAUAAUAGUGAAUUUGUGUCCAGCCCUGCUGCCAACCCAGCAGGAAUCUUGGGGUGCUUCGCAUCUCAGGGUGCUGAGGGCCACCCAGUUUCUGCCUCUCCCACCUGGCUCCAGCCAGGUGAAAAUAGUCACCUCUAUGAUUAAAAUAGUGAGGAAAAGCCUCCGGAAAAAAGGACAGGAGAGAGACAUAGGAAAUUUGGACUAAGGUGCAGAAACACAUGCAAGGACAAUAAGCAAGCCGGGCAUACUCGUGUGUGGGGGCUCUGUAAAACAUGGCAGUGUAACCUAGGACUGGUGUGGAUGUAGUGCCUUAUUUUUUACAGAAAAAGUUAUGUGGAAAAAAGGUAACUUCUUGAAAUAUUUAGUGUUUAAUUGAGAUUGUCCCACCAGCACCUGUAAACCCAUGGUGUGCUAUGAGGAGAAGGGGUUGAGGAGCUGCUCACCAGCAAGCAGCAGGGAGGGAAGGCACAAACAGGGAGGCGCAGAUUAGGGAAGGAUAUAGGACAACCCUGUGCAGCUGUUUUUGUUAUACCACCGAGCUGUAAAGUUGAAAAAUGAUUUAAAAAGCAAGGGAUGUGCCAGGAGUACUAGUGUGUCCUGCUUAUGGACGCUUGGGGCAUUCUGUGCAAAUUGAACUUCCUCCCCUGUUUUUUGGAUGGCUUAAUAUUGCAGAAGUGGAAGGGAAGAGCAACAACACACUUGGAGUGUGGAGCCUUUUCCCUGAUCCCUCUGGCACUGAGCUGCAGCAGAGUGACCUGAGGACAGAAGCAAAGCCUGGCUGCUCCCAUCUUUUCAUUGCUGUAAUCCAAAACGUGGAGGUUAUUUCAGUGUGGAGGCUGCACAUGAAAAGAGUCUCAGUUUUGGGGAUUUUUUUAAGUUAAAAAAAAAUUAACAACCAGGUGGGACAAGAAGGAUAACCUGUGUAGGAUUUACUGGACAGCACGGGAGCAAGUGGAGGGGAUGGAACUGGAGUGAUUUGCAUCCAGGGAAUGUGGAGCUGUACCCAGAGGUGUGCACGCUGGUGCUCCACAGACUGCAGUUACAGCUCCCAGGAGUGAGACAGCCCACAUUCCUUACACAAGCAAAUAGCAAAACUUUUCUUCUCACUGCAGGAUUAUUUGAUCAUUGAUAAGGUGGCUGUGAGGUGAUUUUCCUGUCCUUUUGCAAUGUGCCUGUACAUAUCUCUACCCCGAAUGGUUUGAGGAGCUGGAAAUCAGAGUGUGAAAAGAUGGGUCAUUGCAGGAGUUCCUCAUGUGCAGAGUCUGCAGAAUCAUAAAAAUUUUGAGAAGGACCUUAAAGACCAUCUCAUCCCACCCCUCCUGCCGUGGGCAAGAACACCUUCCACUAGACCAGAUUGUUCAGGAUCACAUCAUAAGCCUGGCCCUGAGCAUUUCAAGAAGCUUACCCCUUCCUUCCCUCAUACUUCACAUUCAUGGUUUUGGGACCUGAGCUCAAGCAAGGAGCUGCUUCAUUUCUUCAGGGGGAAGAUCCAGAGGGGCACAAAGCUUUAGGUUUUAAGUGUUUCAUUUUUUAUUCUGAGACGCUGAAAACAUGAGCCAAAGAAACCUAGCAGAGGAAAGCAGGAGAAGAACACGUAAAAGGAUGUAAGCCUGAUUCUACCUUUGAUGGUCUGGUUUUCUCUACCUGCGUGCCCAGGAAAAGACAGCCCUGUGUCACUUCAGGUUGGGCCCUCAAAACAGCAGGCCUAGAAAUUGGUGUUUCCUUCCUUGAAGCAGCAGCUGGACAGUUUGACUUCUGAUCACUGCUAAAGGUGUGGCUAUUAAAGCCUCUCUGGUUGCAUUUUCCAAGAAGAAAUAGCUCAGAGUGUGUCCGUGUGUCAGUUGUGAGCAACACGUCCUGCGAGUCACUGCCAUGGCCAUUCACAGUUGGCAACACACAUUUGGACACAAGAGGAGCUGGUAACAGAGGGUUACAAACCUGUGGCUUGAGCU